rnacentral:rRNA from 1 species
AGAGUUUGAUCCUGGCUCAGAUUGAACGCUGGCGGCAGGCCUAACACAUGCAAGUCGAGCGGCAGCGGGAAAGUAGCUUGCUACUUUUGCCGGCGAGCGGCGGACGGGUGAGUAAUGCCUGGGGAUCUGCCCAGUCGAGGGGGAUAACAGUUGGAAACGACUGCUAAUACCGCAUACGCCCUACGGGGGAAAGGAGGGGACCUUCGGGCCUUUCGCGAUUGGAUGAACCCAGGUGGGAUUAGCUAGUUGGUGGGGUAAUGGCUCACCUAGGCGACGAUCUGUAGCUGGUCUGAGAGGAUGAUCAGCCACACCGGGACUGAGACACGGCCCGGACUCCUACGGGAGGCAGCAGUGGGGAAUAUUGGACAAUGGGGGAAACCCUGAUCCAGCCAUGCCGCGUGUGUGAAGAAGGCCUUUUGGUUGUAAAGCACUUUAAGCAGUGAAGAAGACUCCAUGGUUAAUACCCAUGGACGAUGACAUUAGCUGCAGAAUAAGCACCGGCUAACUCUGUGCCAGCAGCCGCGGUAAUACAGAGGGUGCAAGCGUUAAUCGGAAUUACUGGGCGUAAAGGGAGCGUAGGUGGCUCUAUAAGUCAGAU